UGGAAAUCUAUCCUAACAUUUUUUUAAAAGUAACACUUUGCUUAAAUAAUGUAGUAUAAUAAAUUUAGUCUCCUUUUUUUCCUUUUAUUAGCAAAUUAGAAUUUACACAUAGAAUAAAAAUAAUGCCUUCUAUGUUUAUUGAUUGUUUUUGUGCCACUUUCAUUGUCAUUUAACUAAACUUGUGUUACAAAUGGUAUCCUGUAAUGGAUUUUUACUUUUUUAUCAAAAGAAGGCGAUUUCAUUUUCUACCUCGGAGAGAAUCCAAUGCAAAAUAGAGCCAGCAUAAUUACAUACGUACUUUUAUAACUUCAAUAUCAUAAUAUUUUGAUUUUGCUUUAUAUCACGUACUUUCCCAGCUGGUGGGCAGCUUCUGUUUUAGCUUUGUGGAUUAUAUUAGUAACGGGGGAAAGAGAUAUCAUACACAUUGUGAAACUAAUGAGCCCAACAUUCUGGUGUCAUUUGAGGAUACAAUAUUACAUCUGUUUGAUAGUCUUUGACUUGCUUUGUUAUAAUGCCUUGUACUCCAGGCACAGUGGCACUUCAUAAUUAUUUAUAGCAUGUAAGGACUUAGGCAGCAGCAGCAGAAUAUAAGUGCCAGGGGGGUAGUCAGGAAAGGAGAAAGACUUAGGAAGGACUGAUGAGGAAGGUAGAUACCAAGACAUGAGUCAAACCAGAUGUUGUGAACAGGGUUCCACAUGGUCAGGACAAAUCAGGGGAGCAGAUGACAAGAAAGCAGUAAGGCAGUAAGAGAAAACAUCUGGACAGCCAAAUCCCUUUCUUCAGGGUCAAAUAAGGUUUAAGAGAAGAGGCAAUUUCCUACUUCAGCUUUAGGAGUCCUCUGAUCUCAUGGGAACUAGUUCUUCAAUACAGUGCUUGUAAAACUUAAUGUGCAUAUGAAUCCCCUGGAGAUCUUUUAAAAUGCAGAUUCUGAUUCAAGAGGUCUGAGAUGAGGUCUGGCAUCUCCACUUCCAACAAUCUUCUAGAUGAUACUGAUGCUGCUGGUACAGGGAUCACAUAUUGUACAUCAAAAUGUUAAGCCAGCCCAGAGAUAGGCAAAGUAGACCAGCCAAAAGCUGGCUAGAAUGAGGAGCAUAGCAUUGGGGAGCAAGUAGAGUUUCUAAUAAAGGCAGAAUCUGCAAAUUUAAUGUAUUUCAGAUGAAAAAGCAAACUUGGUUGAUGGUUGCUUGUUAUGGAUUGACUUAACUCCCCGCCCCAAGAUAUCGAAUCCUAACCCCAGUACCGUGGAAUGUGAUCUUAUUUGGAAAUGGGGUCUUCACAGAGGUAAUUGAGUUAAAAUGAGGUCAUUAGGAUGAAACCUAAUCCAUUAUGACUGUGUCCUUAUAAAAAGGGAAAAUCUGAAUGCAGACAGACAUGCACUGAGGGAAGACGAUGUGAAGACACACAGGAGAAGAUGCCCAUGGGCCUGGAAUAAUGCGUCUAUAAGCCAGUGAACACCAAGGGUAGCCAGCAAACACCAGAAGCUAGAAGAAGCCAGGAUUCUUCCCUAGAACCAUCAGAGCGUGGCCCUGCUGACGUCUGGAAUUUGGACUUCUAGACUUCAGAACCGUGAGACAAAAAGAAGCUGAAGAUCAAGACUUGGAAAGAGUAGCACGUUUCUUAGUGAAGAAACAGCCAAGAAAAUUACUGCUCUCCUAGCUCAAUGAGAAGCAUUAAUUAAAGGUGACAGAACCUUUAAUAUAUAUUUGAGGAACCAUCCCUUUUCUACACUCCAUGUAGCUCUUCUCCUCAGCGAGGCUGGCUGGUCUCCAAGGGUGCUCAUCUUCAAAAGGACCCCAACCUUGGACCACCAGCUAGAAGGAGCAAUAGGAACAGAGGUAGGAAGAGAGAAGAGAAUUCUUUUGGAGGCACUGCUUUGGGGGCAAAAUGAGAACUGAAGGAAAAAGAAAAGGAAGAUAAGUUUGUUUCUUCAAGGCAGAGCAACUUUUGCAUUCCUUGUGUAAGUAGCAAAGGUUCAUGCUAUUUGCCUCCUUGUUAUAGUCUAGAUUUACCCACAUAUUUAGGGUUCUCGGGAAAAGAGUAAGAAACAAAGCAGCUGGAGGCGAAAGAACAGAAUUUUGAUGGCUCUACUCAGAGCCAUGUCUAAGAAGGAUGUGGUACCACCUCCCAUUGCUUCUCAUAUAUAUACUUUUUUUUUGGUUAAUUUUUUUUGUUUUUGUUUUUGAUUUUUUUUGAGGAAGAUUAGCCCUGAACUAAC
rnacentral:lncRNA from 1 species